rnacentral:rRNA from 2 species
CGAACGAACUCUGGUAUUGAUUGGUGCUUGCAUCAUGAUUUACAUUUGAGUGAGUGGCGAACUGGUGAGUAACACGUGGGAAACCUGCCCAGAAGCGGGGGAUAACACCUGGAAACAGAUGCUAAUACCGCAUAACAACUUGGACCGCAUGGUCCGAGUUUGAAAGAUGGCUUCGGCUAUCACUUUUGGAUGGUCCCGCGGCGUAUUAGCUAGAUGGUGGGGUAACGGCUCACCAUGGCAAUGAUACGUAGCCGACCUGAGAGGGUAAUCGGCCACAUUGGGACUGAGACACGGCCCAAACUCCUACGGGAGGCAGCAGUAGGGAAUCUUCCACAAUGGACGAAAGUCUGAUGGAGCAACGCCGCGUGAGUGAAGAAGGGUUUCGGCUCGUAAAACUCUGUUGUUAAAGAAGAACAUAUCUGAGAGUAACUGUUCAGGUAUUGACGGUAUUUAACCAGAAAGCCACGGCUAACUACGUGCCAGCAGCCGCGGUAAUACGUAGGUGGCAAGCGUUGUCCGGAUUUAUUGGGCGUAAAGCGAGCGCAGGCGGUUUUUUAAGUCUGAUGUGAAAGCCUUCGGCUCAACCGAAGAAGUGCAUCGGAAACUGGGAAACUUGAGUGCAGAAGAGGACAGUGGAACUCCAUGUGUAGCGGUGAAAUGCGUAGAUAUAUGGAAGAACACCAGUGGCGAAGGCGGCUGUCUGGUCUGUAACUGACGCUGAGGCUCGAAAGUAUGGGUAGCAAACAGGAUUAGAUACCCUGGUAGUCCAUACCGUAAACGAUGAAUGCUAAGUGUUGGAGGGUUUCCGCCCUUCAGUGCUGCAGCUAACGCAUUAAGCAUUCCGCCUGGGGAGUACGGCCGCAAGGCUGAAACUCAAAGGAAUUGACGGGGGCCCGCACAAGCGGUGGAGCAUGUGGUUUAAUUCGAAGCUACGCGAAGAACCUUACCAGGUCUUGACAUACUAUGCAAAUCUAAGAGAUUAGACGUUCCCUUCGGGGACAUGGAUACAGGUGGUGCAUGGUUGUCGUCAGCUCGUGUCGUGAGAUGUUGGGUUAAGUCCCGCAACGAGCGCAACCCUUAUUAUCAGUUGCCAGCAUUAAGUUGGGCACUCUGGUGAGACUGCCGGUGACAAACCGGAGGAAGGUGGGGAUGACGUCAAAUCAUCAUGCCCCUUAUGACCUGGGCUACACACGUGCUACAAUGGAUGGUACAACGAGUUGCGAACUCGCGAGAGUAAGCUAAUCUCUUAAAGCCAUUCUCAGUUCGGAUUGUAGGCUGCAACUCGCCUACAUGAAGUCGGAAUCGCUAGUAAUCGCGGAUCAGCAUGCCGCGGUGAAUACGUUCCCGGGCCUUGUACACACCGCCCGUCACACCAUGAGAGUUUGUAACACCCAAAGUCGGUGGGGUA